rnacentral:misc_RNA from 1 species
GCAAAGUUGGAAAUCCGAGCGCGUAAUUAACACGCUCGCGACGAGUUUCUAAGCCGAGUGUCGCUGUCUUUUUCUUCGUCUUCGUCAUUGUCGUCAUCGUCGUCGUGAAGAGGCGGCGCUCUUUCGGCCAGCGUGCUCUGCUUCACCCUCUGCACGGCUACGAGGGCCUCUUUCCUUGGGCAACUUCAAAACGAAGAAAAUUGGCUCGAGAUAAAUGGCACUUUGUGUUCAAGCGAAAUAACGAACUUUGUCGAGCUUCGCUUCUUACUCCGCGUGAAUUUCACAUCAGAAGGUCCGAGCGAUUCAUGAAGCGCAGUGAACGCGGCCGACGUGCGGUGGAGAGUUGAAGACGAGCGGAAGAGGGCCACCGAUGUACUCGAACGUAAACACGACUCCCUUACGGGCCUCUGGAGAUCGGAAUCGUUGCUGCUCUCGGCAAUAUUAAUCGGGACCGGAAAUACAGCAGUUUACUGCUUCACCGGCCACCGUCUCUUCACCACCGCCACUGAAGCGAAUCUACAUAAUUGAUUAUACGCGUCUCCCCUGCCACUGGUUAUGAUUUGAUUGGCGGCCGCAACUAUAGGGUUCGACUGCGUCCUCCCUUAUUAUUAUUGUUAUCCGCUGCACGUGUAAUCGAAUCAAACGUUUUUUGCGAACGAUACGUACGAUUUUAAUAAUUUCGUCCAUUACAUUUUGUCGCGUAUUGAUUUAUAAAUUAUGACCACAGUCUUCAAACUUUUAUUAUAUCUUCGAUACUUAUGUACUUGUGUAUAUGCAUACUAUCUAUGUACUAUAACCAAACGCUUGUGUGCCAAAUUCUCCGAUACAUUUUCAAGGACGGUAAGUCACGUAGAAAACUAACAAUAAGGCGAAUAUGCCAGGUAGAGAAGAGAAGAGGGCAACUGUUUUGAAUGCGUUCAUUAAGCCACGGGGAAGAACGUUACACCGGACGAUUAACUUAUUAACCUGUCUUCAUAAUAUCUGCAUAACGAUGCGACUUCAUUAGGCGUCGUACACCACUCCCGUGCCUGGCUUUGCAUGUGUGCGUGCACGCCUGUUGCUUGCACGCGCGUGUUGCACGCCUCAACGUUCAUUGGACAGUCUCACACGCGCUCGACAUUCCUACACACGUGUACAGGGCUCGUGUGUAUUGAGGAGUCAGUGUGAAAAGAAGGACAGAAAAGGAGAGCAGCGAGAGCGAAAAAGAGGCAGCAAACGGAGAAAAUUAAAUAAGAGGGAGAAGGAGAGAGCGAAACAAACUGGCAGAUCGAAAAAGGUAAUGUAUAAAUACGAGACCACCCACCGCG